rnacentral:misc_RNA from 1 species
GGCUUCUAAAUACCAAGUAUUAACAGGUGCAGAUAAUUGUUUGUUUUGAUAAUUAAUUCUAGAUUUGCUCCACUAAGUUUAAUUGAAACUGAGACAAAUUCGUAAAAUUUGAAACUUCUGAAUUAACAAGAAAAGCAUUACAUUUGCAGUGAACAACAUAAAAACAACUCAUUACUACCUAUACAAAAGGUGAAAUUUUUUACUUGUACCAAAAAGUGAUCAGGAUGUACCAAAAACCAUAUAAAUUGAAAGAUCAAGAUUUUACAUAGCUAGAUCUAGUCAAUCAACCAAAAAUAAUUAAAAGGGGAAAAAUUGUACCUUUGUAACAAGUGAACUAACGUGACCAAGUUUGGCAUCGCAGAAUUUGCAAUUCCAUGUUUUGCCUUCAGGAUGAACCAAAAAUAAUCUCCCCAUUUUUCACUUCACACAGCCUCAAUUUCCCCAAAUCGAAACCCUUCUUAUAGAAUGGAUGAAGGUACAAGGCUUAGAGGGGUUUUGGAUUUGGAGUUAAGCCAGAAGUGAGUGUUAAAUUCCAUAAAAACAAAGUAGAAAACCGGCUUAUUUUUACAUGUGGCGCAUAUUUUGUUUUAUUAACUUCAAAGCCACCUAAUCCUAUCUUUUAGUGUUGUUUAAAUGUAUAAAAAAGAUCUAUCAGUAUUUUAUUGCAUAAUAUAUAAACGUG